UACGAAGGGAGCUAGCGUUGUUCGGAAUCACUGGGCGUAAAGCGCACGUAGGCGGAUGUGUCAGUCAGGGGUGAAAUCCUGGAGCUCAACUCCAGAACUGCCUUUGAUACUGAAGAUCUUGAGUCCGGGAGAGGUGAGUGGAACUGCGAGUGUAGAGGUGAAAUUCGUAGAUAUUCGCAAGAACACCAGUGGCGAAGGCGGCUCACUGGCCCGGUACUGACGCUGAGGCACGGAAAGCGUGGGGAGCAAACAGG
rnacentral:rRNA from 1 species